rnacentral:rRNA from 1 species
AUAAGUUUUUUAAGGGCAAACGGUGGAUGCCUUGACUGUAAGAGGCGAUGAAGGACGUACUAGGCUGCGAUAAGCUUCGGUGAGACGCCAAGAGUCUUUGACCCGGAGAUUUCCCAAUGGGGCAACCUGAUAUAUAGAGAUAUAUAUCGCCAUAUAAUGGAGCUAACCUGGUGAAGUGAAACAUCUCAGUAACCAGAGGAAGAGAAAUCAAAUGAGAUUCCCAGAGUAGCGGCGAGCGAAAUGGGAUUAGGACAAACCUUUAGUUUACUAAAGGGGUUGUAGGACUAUGUUGUGGUAUGAUGAGAGAUAAUAGAAUAAGCUGGAAAGCUUAGCUGUAAAGAGUGAUAGCCUCGUAUAUGAAAUUUUAAAUCAACCUAAUAGUAUCCUGAGUAGGACGGAACACGUGAUAUUCUGUCUGAAGCUGGGGGGACCACCCUCCAAUCCUAAAUACUACUUACAGAUCGAUAGUGAACCAGUACCGUGAGGGAAAGGUGAAAAGAACCGCAGUGAGCGGAGUGAAAUAGAACCUGAAACCGUUUGCCUACAAUCAUCGGGAGUCCUAUGUUUUAUACAGGAUGACCGACUGCCUUUUGCAUAAUGAGCCUGCGAGUUGUGGUAUCUAGCGAGGUUAAACGAAUGUGGAGCCGUAGCGAAAGCGAGUCUUAAUAGGGCGAAUAGUUAGAUGCUGCAGACCCGAAACAAAGUGAUCUAUCCAUGAGCAGGUUGAAGCUGGUGUAAGAGCCAGUGGAGGACCGAACUCGCUGACGUUGAAAAGUCAUGAGAUGACUUGUGGAUAGGGGUGAAAGGCCAAUCAAACUUUGUGAUAGCUGGUUCUCUCCGAAAUAUAUUUAGGUAUAGCGUCUUGUAGUAGCUAUAAGGGGUAGAGCACUGAAUAGGCUAGGGCAUAUACCAAUGUACCAACCCUUAUCAAACUUCGAAUACUUAUAGUGUAAGCAAGGCAGUCAGGCGGCGGGUGAUAAAAUGCGUCGUCGAGAGGGGAGUGGAAAACGAUGUGAAGUUGCUUAGACAACCAGGAGGUUGGCUUAGAAGCAGCCAUCCUUUAAAGAAAGCGUAACAGCUCACUGGUCUAGCGAUUUUGCGCGGAAAAUAUAACGGGGCUAAAGUUACCCACCGAAGCUUUAGAUUGAGAAUUUAUUCUCAGUGGUAGGAGAGCGUUCUAUUCAGCGUUGAAGGUAUACCGAGAGGAGUACUGGAGUGGAUAGAAGUGAGCAUGCAGGCAUGAGUAGCGGUAAAAGAAGUGAGAAUCUUCUUCGCCGAAAACCCAAGGUUUCCUACGCUAUGCUCGUCAUCGUAGGGUUAGUCGAGUCCUAAGCCAAGUCCGAAAGGGGUAGGUGAUGGCAAAUUGGUUAAUAUUCCAAUACUAACAAAUAAUAAUCUGAUGGGGGGACGCUUAGAGUUAAAUGAGCUAACUGAUGGAAUAGUUAGUCGAAAGAUGUAGAAUGAAUUGUAGGAAAAUCCGUAAUUCUUUAUUCGAGAUCUUAUAGGCAGACAAAGCUCUUCGGAGGUGCGUCUGAAUCAUUGAUACUGUCGAGCCUAGAAAAGCCUCUAAAGAGUUUGAAUUAUUUGUUACUCGUACCGUAAACCGACACAGGUGGGUGAGAUGAGUAUUCUAAGGCGCGUGGAUGAACCCUGGUUAAGGAACUCUGCAAAUUAGCACCGUAUCUUCGGUAGAAGGUGUGGCUCCUUUUGUAUAGAGAUUUACUCUCAAAAGCAAAAGAGCUUGCAACAAAGAGUCCCUCCCGACUGUUUACCAAAAACACAGCACUAUGCUAACACGUAAGUGGAUGUAUAUGGUGUGACGCCUGCCCGGUGCUGGAAGGUUAAAUGAUGAUGUUAGCAAUAGCGAAGCAUUUGAUUGAAGCCCCAGUAAACGGCGGCCGUAACUAUAACGGUCCUAAGGUAGCGAAAUUCCUUGUCGGUUAAAUACCGACCUGCAUGAAUGGCGUAACGAGAUGG